UCCCUUGUGACUCAGCUGAUAAAGGGUCCGCCUGCCAUACGGGAGACCUGGGUUCGAUUCCUGGCUUGGGAA
rnacentral:tRNA from 1 species